ensembl:lncRNA
AAUCUCUUUCUGGAGAUCACUCCCUUUGGAGUUUUUUUCUGUGAGCCUAGGAUACAGGCCUGAGUCUUUUGGUGAAUUAAAUCAUCUUUGAUGAAUCUUGCCUGGCCCAGCUGAGAAGCCUUGAUGAUGACUUAGGCCACUUCUACAAAGCACCAUGGCAGCUCUUUUCUUUUCGAAUGAAAAAUACUAAUUUUUCACAGGAAGCAGGAGAAAGAGGAAGAGACUGCAGUGAUGGAGUUUAGCUAUCCAUCAUGGUGAAACUGUCAGAGGAGCUGAGCAUGGUUCCUUGGCAUGCUUCCUAGAGGAAAGUGUUUCACCAGUCAAAAGCAGAGUUCUAUCGUACCCUGGAGCAGCUGCUGUCAUUUCAUUAUGUACUUCUCUGGGACAGAAGCAGAAUUCCUCUUCUGCUUGGUAUGGAAGUCACCUGUUUGGGAUUGAGCCAUAGAUGUCAAGAAGAGACCAGUAGCUGUGGUUCUGUCAGUUCAAAUAAACAUUUUUCUUGUUUACAAAGAAGGUCCAUAAAGCUUUUUCUUAAAUACAGCAAGGGCAACCAAAGUAGGAUUUUCUGUCCUGAUAAGAUAGGCUGAUGUCAAACCCAGGUCAAAUCUCUCAUCUUCCUCCUGAAGCUCUCGCACUUUGCUUCAUGAUUACUUUUGGCUUCUGCUGCAUACAUCUCCACCAAUUCGUGCUGUUACUGUUGUGUUUCAUUUCUCUAGGAGACCAAAGGAAGAAACUCAGAUUUGAAAGAUUUUAUUUUGUUACCCCCUGUCUUGGAUGGAACAUCUAGAGGUGGCAAACGCAGCAGCAUCUAGGACUAGACUUGUAAACCGAUGUUUCAGCCGCCUCGAGCACAGUGUGACAUGCUAUGAUCUUUAACUAUCUAAGAACUGUUUUCAUACCCUAAAGGUGACAAUUUUUGUAUUACCCCCAUUUAAUCAAUGGCAGUUGCAUUAAGGAGCCAAACACUUGGCUUUCUGAAUGUGAAUAUCUUGCAGAAAGCAGAAAACACCUGUUCUUUUCCAUUCACAACACCAUGGAGUUACUACUCAUGCAUAAGGCAGGCGGUUGUGAACUCUGUGUACGUGUCUCUGUGUGUGUACGUAUGUGUGUGCAUCUCCAUUCCUAGUACAGGAAGAAAAUCCAACAAUAUUUCACCCAAAUGAGAAAUGUUAUUCUGCAGAUUAAAGCCAUGCAGGGUCUGGUUUUGUCUUUAUUUAUGCCUUUCUAUUUCCUUCUCUGCUGACAUGGGUGCACAUGCCGGGAAGCACUGAAGGACAUAAUUGGCGUUGUGAAAAAUUAUUGGGAAGCCAGAACGUUCCCUUGCAGUGAUCCCCCCCUUCUCUUUCCCAUCUGUCACCAUCUAAUGUGACAAAGUUUUUAUCGGGCAUUGAGGCAGAGGAGAUUAAAAGUAAAUACUGCAAUCAGGAAGCAGCUGGGGGGAAAAUGUAACACAUUUCACACUAAGCUGAACAGCUCAUCAACUUAGCCUUGUAUAUCUACGGCGGAUGAGAGGGAGGGAGGGCUGCAGGGGGAUGGUGUAGUGCAACAUGCUCCUCCGCACUGGGAAGCUGAAGGGAAUCAUGUGUUUUCUUAUACAAAUAGGAUUCAUGCUUUCUGAUACUUGCUUUGGGGAAAAAAAAUCAGGAGCACAGUAGUUUUCCACUUUUGUAAUAAACUCACGUAAAACACUGUUUGCUCAUGCUCUGAUUUACAUUUUUUUAGUGCUCCCUUUAUGCUUUAGCAUUCAUCCUAGGUGGUGCCAUGCCUGCAUGUAGCUCUUGGUGCUGUGGGCUCCUGUUGCACCAUCUCUGGGAAAGAUUAGUUGGCUAAGUGGAAGCCAUUGUGUACAGACAUACAAUGAUGUAGGCUUGUGAAGCUGAACAUUGUGAUCUUUGGAUCACAGUAUGCUAAGCACUGUUGUAUUUUGUCUAAACUGAUCUGCUUGCAAAGGCCAGGAAACUUGACAAUUUUAUUUUAUUAAAGCCACAUGGCAUUAUUUUAUUUUUGUGUAUAAAAGUUAAGGUAUUUAAAUACCACAUGUCAUAUUCUCUUCUAAAGCUUUUGAAAGUCAGUGCUUUCUUUUGCAAAAUAUUGGCUAUAUCUUCUUCCUU